CUGGGCUAUGGCGACAUGUACCCGGAGACGUGGUCGGGCAUGCUGGUGGGCGCACUGUGCGCUUUGGCGGGUGUGCUGACCAUUGCCAUGCCCGUGCCCGUCAUUGUCAACAAC
rfam:Apteronotus leptorhynchus Kv3.3 potassium channel subunit precursor, mRNA, complete cds.